CACUUAGAUGUUCUGGGCCGCACGCGCGCUACACUGUUCGACGCAGCGAGUCUUAACCUUGACCGAAAGGUUUGGGUAAUCUUCAGCAAAGUCGAACGUGAUGGGGAUCGAUCAUUGCAAUUAUUGAUCGUGAACGAGGAAUUCCUAGUAAGUGCAAGUCAUCAGCUUGCGCUGAUUACGUCCCUGCCCUUUGUACACACCGCCCGUCGCUACUACCGAUUGAAUGGUUUAGUGAGAUCUCUGGAUUGACGCUGGCUAGGGGGCGACCCUUGGCCAGACUGUUGAGAAACUGCUCAAACUUGAUCAUUUAGAGGAAGUAAAAGUCGUAACA
rnacentral:rRNA from 1 species